UUUAAUUAGCCAAAUUUGAGGAUGUGCUGAGCCCCCACACCCCUUUCUCCCCUCUGGCCUCAUGAAGUCUCUGCUUAAAGAGGGCUCCAUGUCCGUCUUUAGCAUCUCAGGGUGCCACUCCCGGGAGAGCCAGGUAGCCAUGGUGGGUCAGGAGGAGACGUCUCAGGACGAGACCUGUGAAGUGAAGAUGAAUGAUGACAGGGAGGCCUGCAGUGAGCCCAGCCUGCUCUCCACACAGAAAUGGCUUCAGGGAGAACAACUGAACAGCCAGAGAAGCAAAUGGGAGGCAGAGAAGAAUGAAGGCAAAGAAGAAAAUUAGAACAAACCCAUAGAAUGGUAGAGCCGAAGCUGAGCCCUCCCAUUCUUUUCCACCUGCUGAACAAGGUCCCCAAAAUGCCCUCAGAUGCUACCUCCUCUGUGACGCCCUCCGUGACUCCUGGAGGCCAAGUUAUCUAUUGCUCUGCUAAGAUCCCAUUGCACUUGUUAGUACCUCUGUCACCUUUAACUAUGAGUGGUGAGGUUACUCCCAGGUUUGUCUCCCUCACUACCACUGUGAACCCCUCAAAGGCAGGUGUAUAUCCUGUCUCUCCACGUGUUCUUUAUGGCUGUCACAGCACUGGGAAAAUUAAGAAACUCAGAACAUACUUGCUGAGAAAAGGAGGUCCAGAAAGGCAAGGAGACUUGUCCCAGGUCAACAGAGAGAAGCUCACAACAAGGCCACACAGAGGAGAUAGGUAGGCCCUCCCCAUGUCCUCUCCCUCCCCCUUUCCAGUCCUACCUCUAUGUGCCCAGGGCCCCCACUCCAAGCCCGUCGGCCUGCGGUGCAUCUUCCCAGGACCCCGUGACCCUCGGCCCUCCCUCCUCACUCCAUAUCUGGCAUCAGGCCUGGAAUGGAAUGGCCCUGGGCUACUGCGAGCUGAUUGGAUGGAUGACACCAUGUCCAUCUCAGCACCACUAUCCACAAGGUGGAUCAGGAGUCUUUGUGGGGAGAUGACCUUGGAGGGUGAGUUAAAGAGAGGGCAACAGAAGAGGACACAGUAAGAGUGAGCUCCCAGGAGCCCACCUCCAGCCCCCACCGGCACCGCCCAUCAGUUCUUCAGAGCAGGAGCAAAGGCAAAGAGGAAAUAAGCAUCAGUGUCCAUGCCGAGGCCUUGUGACAUCUCCACUCAGCCUAAAGACCACCACUGCAUGUUCCAAUCACCUCGUGCUUAUAGAUAUAUAAAUAAAUUUUUAAUCAUUAACUUCUAUAUUACAAAUGCUAAAUCAAUAGAUUUUGUAUAUUCAUUAGUAUUAUCUAUGUAAACACUCAAGUUACCUGCAGGUAGAGAAAUAUUUAUUUUUUCCAUUCCAAAUUAUUAUGCUUUUAUUCCUUUUUCUUGCUUUAUUCUAAUGCCUGGGACCUUCAGAAUAGAAGUGAUAGGGGAGUACAUUCUUGUUAUGUUCAUAAAGUUAUGAAAACAGCAUUCAGUCUUUCAUUAUGCACUACAGAAUUUAGUUGUAAAGUUAAAAUAAAAUU